rnacentral:rRNA from 1 species
GAUGAACGCUGGCGGCGUGCCUAAUACAUGCAAGUCGAGCGAACAGACGAGGAGCUUGCUCCUCUGACGUUAGCGGCGGACGGGUGAGUAACACGUGGAUAACCUACCUAUAAGACUGGGAUAACUUCGGGAAACCGGAGCUAAUACCGGAUAAUAUAUUGAACCGCAUGGUUCAAUAGUGAAAGACGGUUUUGCUGUCACUUAUAGAUGGAUCCGCGCCGCAUUAGCUAGUUGGUAAGGUAACGGCUUACCAAGGCAACGAUGCGUAGCCGACCUGAGAGGGUGAUCGGCUACACUGGAACUGAGACACGGUCCAGACUCCUACGGGAGGCAGCAGUAGGGAAUCGUCCGCAAUGGGCGAAAGCCUGACGGAGCAACGCCGCGUGAGUGAUGAAGGUCUUCGGAUCGUAAAACUCUGUUAUUAGGGAAGAACAAAUGUGUAAGUAACUAUGCACGUCUUGACGGUACCUAAUCAGAAAGCCACGGCUAACUACGUG